rnacentral:lncRNA from 1 species
CUGCUGUUUAACCCAGUCUUUGGUCGGAGGUGAAGAAGAGAUGACAUCCUCCACACCAUCCCCCUGCUGCUCUCAACAACCAUCAUCGCUGUGCUGGACAGACUGCAGCACCCACCAGGACCCUUCUCUCAUGGACUACACAAACAUGCGUUUUACCUGCUCGUGCUCCAGAUGUCCUGAAGCAGCUCUCAAGGACCACCAGACACCAGGCUGAAGCAGAACUGAUGCUGUACCUGUCACUCACUGGGCUCGUUCCUGCUGAACCUCCAAGAGAUAAACCCCUCUUCAAGAAAGUAUGAGGUAAUGUCUUGGUGAACUUGUGUUCAUUUAUUUUUUCUUAGUUAUCUUAGCUGCUGUAUUAAUGCUUGUGAUGCUAUUGUACAGCUCUGCUGAUACCAUCGUCUUUAACAGCAGUGUUUUCUCCCAGGUCUUCUUCAAGCCAGUUAAGAGAGGAAGAACAGCUUAGACACUCAGGCAGCUGAACGCACCAAAGGUGGACAUCAU